AACACCAUACUUUAGGAAUCAUUUCUAUAGUCUGUUACUUGAGAAGUUUCUCUGAACCUGUGGAGCACCUAAAAAAAAGUU
rnacentral:snoRNA from 1 species